GGAAAGUGAAAACAGACAGAAAGAAGAGACAGGACAGCCUGAAGACCCUGCAAUGCAACACACACAUGACACGAAAGAAUCAGUAGUCCUUAGUGAAGAUAUCAGGACGCAUGAACAUAAUGAAAGAACAACAGAGAACCAACAGCUUCCAAAUGGUAUGGAAAGUGAAAACAGACAGAAAGAAGAGACUGGACAGUCUGAAGCCCCUACAAUGCAACACACACAGGACACGGUAGA